rnacentral:rRNA from 1 species
GAUGAACGCUGGCGGCGUGCCUAAUACAUGCAAGUCGAGCGGACGGACGAGAAGCUUGCUGCUCUGAUGUUAGGGGCGGGCGGGUGAGUAACACGUGGAUAACCUACCUAUAAGACUGGGAUAACUUCGGGAAACCGGAGCUAAUACCGGAUAAGAUUUUGAACCGCAGGGGUCAAAAGUGAAAGACGGUCUUGCGGUCACGUAUAGAUGGAUCCGGGCUGCAUUGGCUGGUUGGUAAGGUAACGGCUUACCAAGGCAACGAUGCAUAGCCGAGCGGAGAGGGUGAUCGCCCACACUGGAACUUAGACACCGACCUGACUCCUACGGGAGGGCGCAGUAGGGAAUCUUCCGCAAUGGUCGAAAGCAUGACGGAGCAACGCCGCGUGAGUUAUGACGGUCCUCCGAUCGUAAAACUCUGUUAUUAGGGAAGAACAUAUGUCUACGUAACUGUGCACAUCUUGACGGUACCUAAUCAGAAAGCCCCGGCUAACUACGUG